CCCAUGCUUCCAGGAAAAGCCACUAAGCUUCAGUUGAAUGAAGACCGUACCGUAAACCGACACAGGUGGGUAGGAUGAGAAUUCUAAGGCGCUUGAGAGAACUCAGGAGAAGGAACUCGGCAAAAUAGCACCGUAACUUCGGGAAAAGGUGUGCCCUUUGUAUGUGUAGCGCCUCGCGCGUGAAGCAGAAUAGGGUUGCAAUGAAAUGGUGGCUGCGACUGUUUAAUAAAAACAUAGCACUCUGCAAACACGAAAGUGGACGUAUAGAGUGUGACGCCUGCCCGGUGCCGGAAGGUUAAAUGAUGGGGUGCAAGCUCUUGAUUGAAGCCCCGGUAAACGGCGGCCGUAACGAUAACGGUCCUAAGGUAGCGAAAUUCCUUGUCGGGUAAGUUCCGACCUGCACGAAUGGCGUAACGAUGGCCACACUGUCUCCUCCUGGGACUCAGCGAAGUUGAAAUGUUUGUGAAGAUGCAAUCUCCCCGCGGCUAGACGGAAGGACCCCGUGCACCUUUACUGUAGCUUUACAUUGGACUUUGAUAACAUUUGUGUAGGAUAGGUGGGAGGCUUUGAAGUGGAUUCGCCAGAAUUCAUGGAGCCAACGUUGAAAUACCACCCUGAUGUUGUUGAGGUUCUAACCUAGAUCCAUUAUCUGGAUUGGGGACCGUGUAUGGUAGGCAGUUUGACUGGGGCGGUCUCCUCCCAAAUUGUAACGGAGGAGUACGAAGGUACGCUAGGUACGGUCGGAAAUCGUGCUGAUAGUGCAAUGGCAAAAGCGUGCUUGACUGCGAGACUGACAAGUCGAGCAGAUGCGAAAGCAGGUCAUAGUGAUCCGGUGGUUCUGUAUGGAAGGGCCAUCGCUCAACGGAUAAAAGGUACGCCGGGGAUAACAGGCUGAUUCCUCCCAAGAGUUCAUAUCGACGGGGGAGUUUGGCACCUCGAUGUCGGCUCAUCACAUCCUGGGGCUGUAGCCGGUCCCAAGGGUAUGGCUGUUCGCCAUUUAAAGUGGUACGUGAGCUGGGUUUAAAACGUCGUGAGACAGUUUGGUCCCUAUCUGCCGUGGGCGUUGGAAGUUUGAGUGGACCUGCUCCUAGUACGAGAGGACCGGAGUGGACGCACCUCUGGUGUACCGGUUAUGACGCCAGUCGUAUCGCCGGGUAGCUAUGUGCGGAAGAGAUAACCGCUGAAGGCAUCUAAGCGGGAAACUCUCCUCUAGAUGAGACUUCCCGAGGGUUUAACCCUCCUAAAGGUUCGUCGAAGACUACGACGUUGAUAGGUCGGGUGUGGAAGCAUAGUGAUAUGUUAAGCUAACCGAUACUAAUUGACCGUGAAGCUUGAUCCU
rnacentral:rRNA from 1 species